AAGUCGUAACAAGGUUUCCGUAGGUGAACCUGCGGAAGGAUCAUUACCAAGAACUGAUGUCCAGUCGCUCUUGGCUGGACUCAACUUGUUCCAUACCCCAUCUGUGAACUGCCAGCUGCUUGGGUCAAUGUAGACUGUAGCAGCCUCAUCUAUCUACCGAGUGGAGUGAAGUAACAUGUCUUAGGAUCUGUGUAAAAUGUUCAUGUCUAUCUCUCGAGAUGGUUAUGAAAUAAUUUGCAUAAAACUUUCAGCAACGGAUCUCUUGGCUCUC
rnacentral:misc_RNA from 1 species